CCCAACAACAAGUUCUUCUAAACUUUAUUUCUUCUUCCUUGUAUCUCGCUUUAUAAGUUUGUGUUCUAAGGUAUCCUGGGCUCGCUUCAAAAAGUAAUGAGCUUCCCUUUGAGUUAUCAUAAAUUGUUUCUUUCCUGAUUUCGUUUUUCCUCUUAAGUAGUUACUCAUGUCAGGUUUCUUUUCCAUUGCCGCCACCCUUGAGAUUAUCACAGCCUCUCUACUUUCAGCUUGACAUUCUUUGUUGCUGCGUUUCUCACCAUACAGGCCGCAUACUUGCUGGUGAGCUUCCUAGUUCUUUUCCUCCACUGUGAAUCAAUGCUAUUCCUGUACAAAUACCUGAACACUCUCCUAGCCCAUUUACUUUCUUCCAUAUUCCUCACUCAUUCUUAAUAAUUAAUUUUACUGUAAGCUUCCCUCACUUCAAAACUUGUCCAGCCCAUAUUACCAUGCACAGCUUCAUUUGUAGCCUUUCCGUGAGAGCCCCAUGCGAGGCGUCCCACAGGUUUUUCCUGGGACCCCAAGAACGACUGCAUCAUGCGCCACUUCUGCAGCUUCUUCUGCAGCCGCUUCUACAACCUGCAGCUCUUCAAAAAGCUUGCAGUGAGUAAGACGGUCGGCUUGAUAAAGGCUAGAUAGAGGCUUGAUAAACUAGAAAAGAGCAAAAAUGAAGACUUGUGGCGAUGUUAUAUUGAAGUUCUCGCAUCAGCUUGCCACGCUGUCAUGUAUUUUGAGAGCCUCGGCAUGAGCCAAGUUAAUUUUUUAUUGAUAAUGAUGGGCUACAUUGCGUUAUAAGGAGUCUGAACUUGGCAAGUGUCAAAAAAUUUUAACUUGCCACAGUGGCGCAAAUAAGAAAAAGUACUUUGAUACCCAUUAUGUCAAACUGACGUACCGGCACAGGGGCUAAUUUCAGCACGACAUUUGAAAAAUGGAAAAAUGGAACUUCGAUCUUCAUUUUUCCUUGUAACUAUCAAUAUAUUAUGUACCGUGAAAUUAGCAAAAAUAGAGUUCUGAAACAAUGCUUUAGUCAAUCGAAACAGAUUUAGUGUGUCUCUUUAGUGUCCCUUUAACAUAAAAAGAAAGUGAUAUAUUAUGGUUGAUAUAUUGUUAUUGUAGUGCCCACAGAAGGAGACACCAUGAGCUACAAACCAAGCAAUUCACAGCUUAGUAUAUGCUGGUUUCAGACGUCAACAGAAGAAUGCUUCAAAGUAAUUAAAUAUAUUCAGCCGUAAGCAUAGGGCAUUAAGGAACAUGCCACAUGUUUUAUCAUUAAAUGAGGGCCCACACUUACUCCAUCUCAACUGGCACAGAAACCAAACUUUAAAAGAAUCUUGAGUAUAAUGUCCCAAAAACACUUAUCUGAUUAUCAGUUCUCUGCCUGAACAAGAAACUUGUCGAGCUGCUCUGCAAAGUAAAUGGUAAAUAUAAUUGUGACCACUACGGCUGUGUUUGCACAUGCGAAAUAAAUUGGGAAGACCCUUUGUGCUGCACGGAACUUGUGCGGUAUGCCUGCAAUUGGUUUGUAAUUGUAAAGCUUGUGGGAACUGAUGCUCAUUCAGGCGGUGGGCACAGAAGCAGCAGCGACAUCACAGCCCGGAACAAGGCAGAAGUGGAAGACAGUACUGGCCGCGGACAGUACUGUCUCCUGGGCUCGGGCCCAAGAUAUCUCCACAUUGAUGCCCAAUGGGACACACCAUCCAGCUUCAGAAUUAAUCCACAAGGCCUCCAGCGCAAAGCUGUUGGGACAUCUGCUAGGGACAUGGCCACAGACACUCGAGCAUGGUGCGUUGCGAAUCGCCAACAGCAGCAGCUGCUGCUACAUUCAAGCUGCUACCCCCGAGCGCUGCACCCAAGGCAGUUCCCCCCUGCUGAUGCCACAGUUGCUAUUGGCUGGUAGCUCAAUCAAGAAAGGUGUUUGGAUUAGUGCUCUUCUUCUUACUAUUACUGUGUAUAUUUAUUGACGCAUUUUAUUAAACAGCCUGAAGGAAGAGAAAAUCUU
rnacentral:lncRNA from 1 species